rnacentral:rRNA from 1 species
CCAUUAGAACUCCGCAGUUAAGUGCGUUCGAGCUAGAGUAGUACUGGGAUGGGUGACUGCCUGAGAAUUCGUAGUGAAUUAAAUGC